rnacentral:rRNA from 1 species
GUAGGUGGCAAGCGUUGUCCGGAAUUAUUGGGCGUAAAGCGCGCGCAGGCGGUUCUUUAAGUCUGAUGUGAAAGCCCACGGCUCAACCGUGGAGAGUCAUUGGAAACUGGAGAACUUGAGUACAGAAGAGGAAAGCGGGAUUCCACGUGUAGCGGUGAAAUGCGUAGAGAUGUGGAGGAACACCAGUGGCGAAGGCGGCUUUCUGGUCUGUAACUGACGCUGAGGCGCGAAAGCGUGGGGGAGCAAACAGGAUUAGAUACCCUGGUAGUCCACGCCGUAAACGAUGAGUGCUAAGUGUUAGGGGGUUUCCGCCCCUUAGUGCUGCAGCUAACGCAUUAAGCACUCCGCCUGGGAGUACGGCCGCAAGGCUG